UUGGAGUGUUAAUGUGCGCGAGUCAGAUUUUUGGUGCCAUAAAUCAAUUUGUGGGUUAACUCAACUUACUACAAUGAGACUUUAUGACACAAUGCUCGAUGUCGACCAUGACAAAUAGAGAGCUGAAGCUGCAGGUUAUGGACCCAACGGAUUCAACUUCGAUGGAGCGGAUAUUACAGGUGUAGAUUAUGCUCUGAAUAGAUUUGGAAGCAUUUUGUAACGAGGAAGACAAGAAGGGAAGGAACAAUCUCGAUUAGAGGAUUUCGUGGCUCAUUUUAGGAUUUUGUUUUACAUAUCUAAUGUUCCAACUCGUUUAUUGUAUUAAAUAACAACUAAUUAAUAGAUAAACAGAGAAAUUAUUGUAAAUGAAUGUCAACGCAAUACAUGUAUUUUUCU